UCUGACACCGCUCUGGAGCUUUUACACAGACUCAUUUUCUGACCUUAAUCGUGAUGUUUUACCUGUUGAGGUGCCACCUGACUCAAUGGUAGAUGAAAUACUUCUUACCUUAGCUAUCCACUUAGCUCCAUCUAUAAUGUGCUUUGUGCUCUUCAGAUGAAACACCACAGAAGUGCAGGUGUUAUUGAAACGCACAGGUGAGCUCCACAAUCCAGUUCCCAAUGCAACCCCAAAAGAGCUGUACUGAUACAGCAGCAUGGGGCUGGAGUGAAAAGCAAAGGACAAGCAUAAUUUGAGUAUUGCCAUCGAAGACUCAGCAUCUUAAAACCAAAGCACAAAGGGUUCUGUCUAUCAUCAGGGAAAGAGCAAGCCUGAGAAGACAGAGGAUGCUCAAUUUGUCUGCCACGGUGAAUGAUCCCUGGCUGCUAUGCAAGGAAGUGCAAAGCAGCGAUGUGCAUGGCCUGUAAAAUUCCUUCCUUUAUUUAUUUAUUUUUGAAGGUGUGCAGCUUUUUAGGAGGGUGUUGGAGGACUUUACGGGAGAAAGGGAGAAAACCCCAUAGAACUGUUUGUACCAUCCCCAGGGAGUGGUUUUUGGAGCGAACAAACCUAAACACUAGGGUUAGUUUUUGUUUCAGAGGGAAGCAUCUGACCGAAUCCCAAGGACAGCUGGGACUGAACUAAUGUUUAUGCACUGCGGAUGCUCAAGGGAGAGGACCCAAAAGUGAAUGGGGAGCCGAGUUAUUCAGGAGGGUGGAGGCACCUUAAAGGGAAAGAGGGGAACUGGUUGCCAAGAAACUACCUUGGGAAAAAAGCAAACACAAACAACUCCAUGGAUAAAUGUAGGGUGGAGGCUGAAAGGAGGCUUCUGACUCGUGGCUAGCUUACUGUACACCCUAGGACUGGGAAGUUAACUGUUUUGUGGUUGAAUUCGGCCAAUUCAGGAUGAGGCUCACGCUGCAAGGUAGCUGGGGCUGGGGCACUGCUGACUCCUGAGCUUCCUUUCAGACCCAACCUCCUCUGUAGGAUGGUCCUAAUCGAUGUGGUGCCAUCCUUUCCUCAGCACAGGUCCCCAGGUCUGAGUAUUUCCCUUUACAGAAAUAAUAGUAAAUAUUAAAUAAUGGCACCGAU